AGCAGGGCAGCCCCACUGGGCACCCUGGGCUGCUGCACUGAUGGUCCUGCCUGUACAUCUCAACUCAUCCUCCCUGGCUGGCUACACAGAAGGUUUGUGCCUCUGUCCAAGGGCUGACUCACUCCGCUCACUUUCACCUUGACUGACCUAGCCCCAUUUCAUCUGGAAGAGUCAAGCUGCACUUUAGCUCCAGGUUCUUGGAAACUACACAGUGAUGGAAAGUGGGGGACACAAGUGCUCCCCAGAUCCCUACUGCCCAGCAUUACAGCAGCAAGGGAGAGCUGCAGACAACUUCCUAAUACAUCCUUCCAGGAGAAGCUUUUCCAAUUAAAGCCAGCAGUAUAGCCCAACCAGUAAAA